ACGUAGGGUGCGAGCGUUGUCCGGAAUUAUUGGGCGUAAAGAGCUUGUAGGUGGUUUGUCGCGUCUGCUGUGAAAAUCCGGGGCUCAACCCCGGACUUGCAGUGGGUACGGGCAGACUAGAGUGAGGUAGGGGAGACUGGAAUUCCUGGUGUAGCGGUGAAAUGCGCAGAUAUCAGGAGGAACACCGGUGGCGAAGGCGGGUCUCUGGGAAGUAACUGACGCUGAGAAGCGAAAGCGUGGGUAGCGAACAGGA
rnacentral:rRNA from 1 species